CCUACGGGAGGCAGCAGUGGGGAAUUUUGGACAAUGGGCGCAAGCCUGAUCCAGCAAUGCCGCGUGCAGGAUGAAGGCCUUCGGGUUGUAAACUGCUUUUGUACGGAACGAAACGGCGAGCUCUAAUAAAGUUCGCUAAUGACGGUACCGUAAGAAUAAGCACCGGCUAACUACGUGCCAGCAGCCGCGGUAAUACGUAGGGUGCAAGCGUUAAUCGGAAUUACUGGGCGUAAAGCGUGCGCAGGCGGUGAUGUAAGACAGAUGUGAAAUCCCCGGGCUCAACCUGGGACCUGCAUUUGUGACUGCAUCGCUAGAGUACGGUAGAGGGGGAUGGAAUUCCGCGUGUAGCAGUGAAAUGCGUAGAUAUGCGGAGGAACACCGAUGGCGAAGGCAAUCCCCUGGACCUGUACUGACGCUCAUGCACGAAAGCGUGGGGAGCAAACAGGAUUAGAUACCCUGGUAGUCCACGCCCUAAACGAUGUCAACUGGUUGUUGGGUCUUCACUGACUCAGUAACGAAGCUAACGCGUGAAGUUGACCGCCUGGGGAGUUACGGCCGCAAAGGUUGAAACUUCAAAUUGAAUUGACGG
rnacentral:rRNA from 1 species